rnacentral:snoRNA from 1 species
AUGCACAAACUCUCCCGGGCUUAUCUGAUUUUUAGAUUUGAAGAAAAAUGCCCCAAUGUUGGUGCUAAAACCAUGCUGUUUUACGUGUUGAGGAACAGCCUUUCUUUACCACUGGCUCUUCUGUGUCAAAUCGGCGGCUACAUCC